ACCUCACAGGACACGCCUGGAUGUGCUGGUGGUGGUUCUGGAGGACUGGAAGCUGGCAAAGAGGUCUGGAAUCUCAUCUGGCGUGAAAGUUUGUCUUGGAAGACACUAAAAGACUUGGUCCUGAUCAGUGAAAGUUCCAUAAUACAGAUGAGAUUUCAGUGACUAGUCCUGGGAAUAAUAAAAAUCUGUUAAGAAGAAAGGAAUUCCUAUGCCAGAUAAAAAUGAGGAAGAACUUGGAAGGGCCAUUGCUGAUCACACAUGCUGGAGGAACUGGGAUCCAGGAUGAACUCCUGGAGCCUGUGCCAGGACCUGCUAACCUUUUCUUCCAAAUUUCAUCAAACAAAAGCCAGGGAAAAGUGCUCUGCUCUGGUCUGAAACAGCCUCUUAUGGAGAGAAACAAGACCAUGGCUAGACAAAAUCUCCCAUUUUCCCCAAAGAAACACUGCCUGAAUGCUCUCAUGGUUAUUCCACUGCAGAUGGAUAUUUCAUCUCCCAUUCUGCCUUACUAUGGCUCUCAAAAAAGAUCUUUCUGCUACUCAAGCAGGAGUGGAUGUUACAUGGAAAACAUGCAUUUUCAUUAAAAAACCCUCUACUUUCUGCUCCAGAGCCUCAGGAACUCACCUUCAGUGGCAUGAGAGGUGCAGAAAAGGCUUUGCCACGUGUUAUGCUUUUACAGUGUGCUGAUCCAUGGUCUCCUGUGCCCCACCCUCUGGCAGCUCAUCACUUUGUGCACCUGGCCAGCAUCAGGAGAAGAUUGUACUCUUACAAGACAAAGUUUUCAGCACCAAACCUUAAACUUUCUGGUUCUGCCAGGUAACAAUAUUUUUUGGACCAGUUUGCCCUGUCCUGCAUGGCCAUUGAGCCAUUGUGACACUUGCCCACACCACGGUCACAGCUGAUUUCUGACAGCAUGGCCAAGCCAAGGAUGGAGCCUGUGGGGAGGGAAGGUGGGUUUGCCCCAUCUCCUCCAUGGCUGGGUGCCACCCUGCUCCCUCCUGCAGCUGCUUUUGGGCACCUGCAGGUCCACAGAGCCUCACAGGAAGACAAACUGGGAUUCCACAUGGCACCAACCUAGCCCAGGCACUGCAGGCUUCUCCCAGGAGUUUCAGGGAUCCAGUGUUCUUCCUGCCAUGCCUCACUGAAGGGACAAAGCUGCCUGUGCCAGAGGUACCAAUGACUGCUGAUGCUCAGCCCCAAGCUGGUAAGUCUCUGCUGAGCUGCCUCAAUUAGAUUCUUCCAGGGGAGAUGUUAAUUCCCUUGUUAAAUUAAGGAAAGGAAAAGCAAACAACAACUAAACCCAAUAACAGGUAAACAAGCAGCUCCUGGAAUUUGCACCACAGGCAUUCAGAGGAGGCUUUCUGCCUUGAACCACACUGCUUGGAAAAUGCUGGGAAAUCUGAUGCCAGCCCUUAACUCAACGUGGUGUGUGUUUUUUCCUCUCCAGCAGCAGCAUGAGCUAAGGAUGAGGCAUUAGCCCUCCCUGUGAUCCCUGCAGUGUCAGUUCAAGUCAGAUUCUUCCCGUUAUUUAUAUGUUCCCUUUUGUGAGUGGAUCGAUUAUACAAGGGAGUUCUCAAGUGCCUGGGCACUCAACACAGCCACACAAUGGAGAAAAGUGUCCAGGUUAGCCUGGAAUUGCACAUGUGCUGAGCAUGCCAGGGGACAGGAGUAAAUAGUGACAUGCACAAUUCAGAGCCACCUCUUCAGAGCUUUCUGGUUUGCUGCACGCUGACUAAAAAAAAAAAAAAAAAAACUACAUUUCAAUUUCCAAGGUGUAGCAACCAAAGAUUGUCAGAGUUAUUCUUAGCCAUGGCAGAAUUGCCACCUUCAGGCCAUUUCUGAACACACGAGAUUAUUCCAUGAUAAUCCAAAAUCCAGCACAAGCUCCUCCCUCCCCUCUA